GUCAGUGGUAGCUCUGUGUUAAAGGCAUUGGUCUACUACACAGAAGGUCAUGAGUUCAAACCCCAGCACUGCCA